rnacentral:rRNA from 1 species
CUCCUACGGGAGGCUGCAGUUAGGAAUUUUGGGCAAUGGGCGAAAGCCUGACCCAGCAACGCCGCGUGGGUGAAGAAGGCCUUCGGGUCGUAAAGCCCUUUUCCAGGGGAAGAUGAUGACGGUACCCUGGGAAUCAGCCCCGGCUAACUACGUGCCAGCAGCCGCGGUAAUACGUAGGGGGCAAGCGUUGUCCGGAUUUAUUGGGCGUAAAGCGCUCGCAGGUGGUUCAUUGCGUCGUGCGUGAAAGCCCCCGGCUCAAUUGGGGAGUGUCGUGCGAAACGGGUGAACUAGAGGCCAGUAGGGGGAUGCGGAAUUCCGGGUGUAGUGGUGGAAUGCGUAGAGAUCCGGAGGAACACCAGCGGCGAAGGCGGCAUCCUGGACUGGUCCUGACACUCAGGAGCGAAAGCGUGGGGAGCGAUCCGGAUUAGAUACCCGGGUAGUCCACGCUGUAAACGAUGAGUACUAGGUGUUGGGGGUAUCGACCCCCUCAGUGCCGAAGCUAACGCGAUAAGUACUCCGCCUGGGGACUACGGCCGCAAGGCUAAAACUCAAAGGAAUUGACGGGGGCCCGCACAAGCAGCGGAGCGUGUGGUUUAAUUCG